rnacentral:misc_RNA from 1 species
GUUUUCUCAGGUCAUCUGAACUGGGAUACUCUGAAAGCUAAAACUUGGGUUUAGAUUCAAGAGUUGAACAACAAAAACAAUGAAAAAGAUGCGUAUUUCUUUUAUCUGGGUGUGGUGUUUUGUUCCAGGAUUUCUUUCAACUCAGCGUCUAAAAAGAAAUUUGCCUUUAUAUUUCAGAUUUAUAGGAAGUUCAUUUUUGUCAUUUUAGCAUGCAAUUUUUUGUUUAUGGACUCUACAUGGCAUUAUUGUUUAUGUGUGGC